GAUGGACGCUAGCGGCAGGCCUAACACAUGCAAGUCGAGGGGGAGGUUACUUUCGGGUAACUGAUACCGGCGUACGGGUGCGUAACGCGUAUACAAUCUGCCUUUCACUGGGGGAUAGCCCGAAGAAAUUUGGAUUAAUACCCCAUAGUAUAGUAAUACGGCAUCGUGAUGCUAUUAAAGCUUAGGUGGUGAAAGAUGAGUAUGGGUUCUAUUAGCUAGUUGGUGAGGUAACGGCUCCCCAAGGCGAUGAUAGAUAGGGGUUGUGAGAGGGAUGUCCCCCAGAAUGGUACUGAGAUACGGACCAGACACGUAAGGGAGGAAGCAGUGAGGAAUAUUGAAGAAUGGUAGGAAGACUGAUCCAGCCAUGCCGCGUGCAGGAUGAAGGUCUUAUGGAUUGUAAACUGCUUUUGUAAGGGAAGAAUAAGGGCUACGCGUAGUUUGAUGACGGUACCUUACGAAUAAGCAUCGGCUAACUCCGUG
rnacentral:rRNA from 1 species